ACUCCAAAUUUCCGUCACCUUAUCAGCAAAUAGCAAUAAAAUAAAGUUUUGUUUUUAUAUAACGCAAAAUCAAAAUAGAGCAUUUUCUGAUUCCAAAACCCUAACCCUAGCGACCAAAUCGAUUUCUCUGUAACCUCUUCGCUCUCACACUACCACACCAAUCAACCAUGGCGAAGAAGCGAAAGGCUUCAGCAGCAACGACCGCCGCCACAGCAGCAACCGAACCCCCAAAGAAACAGCAGCAUCAAGAACAAGAAUCUCAAAAACAAAUUGUAGAACAAAUACCAGAACAGCAAGUAGAAGAAGAUUACGAGCAAGUAAUCGAAGAAGAAGUCGAAGAGGAAGUUGAAGAAGAAGUCGAAGAAGAAGUUGAAGAAGACGAAGAGGAAGAAAAUAUUAAUAAUAAUGAUCUUCAACACAUAAAAGAGGAAGAAGAAGAAGACGACGACGAAGAUCCUAUAGAGAGUCUUCUAGAACCAUUUGGUAAAGACCAGCUUCUAAAUCUUCUUCGAGAAGCUGCUGAUUUGCAUCCUGAUGUUGCUGAUAGAGUUCGUAAAAUAGCUGAUGCUGAUCCUGCCCAUCGGAAGAUAUUUGUGCACGGUCUUGGGUGGGACACCACUGCGGAAACGCUAAUUACUGCCUUUAAGCAGUACGGGGAGAUUGAGGAUUGUAAGGCUGUGUCUGAUAAGGCUUCAGGGAAAUCAAAAGGUUAUGGGUUUAUUCUUUUUAAGAAGAGAAGUGGGGCGCGGAAGGCGUUGGUGGAACCUCAGAAGAAGAUUGGCAAUCGAAUGACUGCUUGCCAGUUGGCUUCCCUUGGUCCUGUUCCGUCUGGCCAGGUUGCGGCUGUUGCUGCGCCGAGUAAUGUGCAGCAGCAAGUGGUGUCUGAUUAUACUAGGAGGAAGAUUUAUGUGAGUAAUGUUGGGGCGGAUUUGGACCCGAAAGAGCUUAUGAGUUUCUUUGCAAAGUUUGGUGAGAUUGAGGAAGGUCCGUUAGGGAUAGAUAAAGCGACUGGUAAAUUCAAAGGAUUUUGUUUGUUUGUGUAUAAGACUUCUGAGGGUGCGAAGAAAGCUCUCGAAGAGCCUCAUAAGAAUUUUGGGGGUCAUACAUUGCAUUGCCAGAAAGCUAUUGACGGGCCUAAGCAUGGGAAGCCACAGCAUCAGCAACAUUAUAAUGCGCAUAAACCACGUUAUCAGAGAAAUGGUAAUCCGGGAUAUAGUGGUGGAGCUGCUGCAGGGCCAGCUCAUUUAAUGGCGCCUGGUGGACCUGCUGCAAUUGGGUUUAACGAUGGAACAUCUGCUUUGAACCCUGCACUUGGACAGGCCUUGACAGCAUUGCUUGCUUCGCAGGGUGCUGGACUGGGGAUAAAUAUUUUAGGAACUCUGGGAUCUGCUGCUGGUGUGCCUGGUGCUGCACCUGGAAUGCAGGCUCCGUAUGGUAAUCAGGCAGGAUAUGGAAACCAGGGAAUGAUGCAUGGUACCUACUCCAAUCAACAGGUAGGCCAGGGAAGUUCUGCUAGAGGGCAGCCCGGUGCUGGACAAUAUGGUGGUGUAGGGCCUUACAUGGGUCCCUAGUUCGGUUGAGCAGCGAUUCUUCACUAACUUGCAGAUGUUGGUUGAAAAUGUGAUCUGUUUAAUUUAUUUAAAAUUAAUUUUACAGGGAUAUAUUUGAGUUAUCUCAUAUUUGAAAUAUUUUUUCUCUGCGGGAUUGGGUUAUUUGACAUCAAAUUUAUCUUUUCGUAUGCGAAUUAAGCUCAUGUCUGGUGUAAUCAUGCUUACCAAUUCUGAAGUUCCAAAAGGUUUUUGUGUGAUCAAAUGCUUGUAUGGAAGGCAUUCUUUUGUUUAUUGAUUGUAUUUUUUUUUCAAAGAAGACAUUCUUGUUAAGACACUUGGACUUCUUUUCAUUGCUAUGAAAUGAGUUUUCUGUUUCAAAAUCGGAAAAGAGUUCCUUAAGAUUUUUCUUGACAUCACAGUAAACAAAGUUUAAGGUCAAAGUUUUGGUUCUUUAUUGUUCAAUCUGUUUUGCCAAAAAAUCUGGUUUUCUAAUACAUCUAAUGACCAAUACUGCAUUAGAAGGGCACUGAUUUCCACAGUCGAUCUCUGCAUCUGCAAACAAGAAGAUUGCAAUGGACUCAGAGUUCUCCCAAGUUUUAGGUUCAGUUAGAAUAUAACUGGUACUUGCGCCCUGUCCAAUUCCAAAUGGCAAUGCCUUUCUGGUUUAAGGAGACCAAAUGAUGCUUGAAAUACAUUGAGGACGGGAAUGAAGGGGUUUUGGAGAAUGGAGUGUAGUUCUUGAGACCCAAGUCAACUGAUGGUCGUAUGUCCAUUUUUUUUUCGGGAUCUUAAUUCUUAUAAAUCCCACACAACCUUCUGCAAUGUGACAAUCCUACAAAGUCUUACAAACAGGACUAGAUGAUGAGAAUUGGCUAGACUGUGCUGCAAUCAUCCAUUUGGCAAAAUAUGCAUCCCAGUACCAAGAUGAAUCAUGAUGGUAGAAUUGGUGUUAGAAAAUUUGAUUGUGAAGAACUGGGAUGAUUGGAUCUCUUUUAUGAAGGAUAGUAAAAGAGGUUUGCAGUUCCAUAUUGUAUAUUUAGGUGAUUUUGAGGUUGCGAGAUUUAGAGAUAAUAGGAUUUGAAUCACAUGAAGGAAACAUAUCUGAAAGCUACUGUUUAUUGGGAAAUUCUGACAGGUUCUUAGUGAGGAGCAUGACGGCUCACACCCCUGUACAGCUUAGUCAUAAUGGGAGUAAUUGGUUAUACACCAAAAUAUUGUACUUGUACUUCUGAAAUAUUUCGUAUCAUUCUCAAUUGACAUGGUGGUACAACAAGCAGGUAUGUGUUCUACAUUUUUGAGUUGAUUCAUUUUACAAUUUGAAUUCGGUGUGGUACGCAUAUGUGAAUCUUUUAGUAAAUGAAUUUUUUUUGACUUGUGGGGAAAUUUAUAGAAGUAUUACAUCUCUUUCUAUAAAUAUUAAACAUGACGAAUCCAUGACUCACAGCAGAAUGGGUUUCCCAAAUUUGUUAAUGUUGAUUUUCUUUUUUUAUUUGACAUAGAAAAUAACUUGCAACACUAACCAUCACCCAUGAGGCUUUGCGCUUUGCCCACCAAAACACGGACAAGCUCGCGAAGGCGCAUUCUCUGUCCGACUUAUCCAUGUGGUGCUUUGUGAAUUUUAAGUUAAUUUCAUUAACUAGCUGCACUGAGUAAUAUCAUUCAUUUCAUUUUAAAUUUUUUGAACUCACCCACGCUUCAAUCUACUAGAGAAAUAGAAAACAAAAUUAAAAGUUAAGAUGCAGUUUGCGAAAAUACAAAAACAAAGAGAAUAGAAAAUAUUUUAAGCCUUCAAUGGCUCUGAACUCUUAUCUGCUGUUCCAGAUUUCAGUUGUCUUUUUCCUUCCGCCUUUCUUUCUUUUAUUCUUCUAUCAUUUUUAUCUUUAAGAUACGACUGAACAUUUUUCAUAGUGUAUUUAAGAGAGUUUCAGAACUAUUCAUUUGGCCCUUAACUCAUAAAAAUAUCUUCCAAUGUUGAGAGCAACCCUGGUGGCGGGGUGGCUGGGAGGGGGGAGGGGCAAGUUGGAGAGUGUACACGUUUGAAAGUGGUAGACUAACUGUUACAAAGUCGAGCGCUGGCCGCUAACUGAUCAACUGACUCAUGCUUACCAAUAACCCAGGUAUUCUCCACUUCUUAAUCCUUAGAUCUAACCCACAAUUACGGGUGUAAGACCGUGCUUUCAUGUCUACAUAUUGUAAUUAGAUAAUUUCGUGAGCUAUUCUAUGUUGGGAUUGUGAGCAUGCAAAUUUCUUUAUUUUAUUUUCGUAUUCCAAGUCUCUGACACCUAUUUUUGGUAGUGAGGCAGAGGGGGUUUCACAUGAUGAUUUGGUCUAUUCAUAAUUUGCAAAAAAGGGUAUGUAAUUUGGUUUAGGUUGGCUAUUAUCGAACUUGAAAUCUCUUAAGCCACUGGCUUGCAGCGGCAUAUGCGCUCUGAUCCUGGUUUGUUAGUAAUGCUGAAAAGGAAAUGUUUCUGGAGCUUAAAAUGCAGAUCAUGUCAUGUUUGUAAUGGAGUAACAGAUUUAUAGCCCCUCGCGUCUCAAUGGCAGUGAAAUUCUGAUCCGUUGAUAUGUGUUGGGCAAAAUGGCCUCCCAGGUUAACUCCAUUUCGACGGAUAUUUUUGCCGGUGCAGACCACUGAUAUGAAGAGCCAGUUCUGAAGUGUAGCUACUGUGCCAUUUCAAAUUUCAAAUUUGGCAUGCCAUUUAGUAGCACAGAAAAUGUAUUUUUCAAAUUAAAUGAUUCAAAACAUGAAGGAAACUUGUAAAUAAUAAAUAUUGGGAUAUAUUUAUAAAAAUUAAUGUUUACAUUA